rnacentral:rRNA from 1 species
AUUGAACGCUGGCGGCAUGCCUUACACAUGCAAGUCGAACGGCAGCGGGGGAGAAGCUUGCUUUUCCUGCCGGCGAGUGGCGAACGGGUGAGUAAUACAUCGGAACGUGCCCUGUAGUGGGGGAUAACUAGUCGAAAGAUUAGCUAAUACCGCAUACGACCCGAGGGUGAAAGCGGGGGACUCGCAAGGGCCUCGCGCGAUUGGAGCGGCCGAUGGCAGAUUAGGGAGUUGGUGGGGUAAAGGCCCACCAAGCCUGCGAUCUGUAGCUGGUCUGAGAGGACGACCAGCCACACUGGGACUGAGACACGGCCCAGACUCCUACGGGAGGCAGCAGUGGGGAAUUUUGGACAAUGGGCGAAAGCCUGAUCCAGCCAUACCGCGUGCGGGAAGAAGGCCUUCGGGUUGUAAACCGCUUUUGUCAGGGAAGGAAUCUUCUGGGUUAAUACCUCGGGAGGAUGACGGUACCUGAAGAAUAAGCACCGGCUAACUACGUGCCAGCAGCCGCGGUAA